AACUGUUCGACUUUAUUUGGGUCGAAUUUCAAACGUCGCGCUACAAAUCCUCAUCUUAUUUAUAUUAUUUUUAAAUAUUAUCUUUCUCAAACGAAUUCCCUCACUCUCUUUUUCUCUUGAAUUCUCUCACCUCUUGUUAUCUGCAAUCUCAUACUCAAGCGUUAUGGAGUUUCAGAUCAUGUUCAUUCAGCUCUUGGUCACUCGGUGGCUUUGGCCUCUCUACUUGGAGUUGGACUUGGUUAUACGAUAACCAUUGCGUUUCAAAGUUACUUAUACGAGUACCUAUCCGUGAAACAACAUCUACUUGGAGUUGGACUUGGCCUCUCUACUUGGAGUGGACUUGACUUAUUUGGGCAGUCUUUGUACAUCUUAUCCAGUACCUAUCCAUCCAGUGGUGGCUUGACGACCUCUUCAACGGGGAUAAUGUUCUACAGUUUAAGAUCCAAAAUCACUUAUGGGCAUCUUGACCUCUUCUACAUGGUCUUUGUACAUCUUCUCCAGUACCUAUCCGUCCAGUGGGUGAGUUCUUGUCAGUUCAAUAUUUAAUUUCUUGAUUAGAUCUUUAAGCACGUUAUAAGCGUCUUGACCUCUUCUACAUUGUCUAUGCACAUCUUUUUCAGUACCUAUCCAUCUAGUGGGUGAGUUUAUAUCAAUAUUUAAUUUCUUGUUUUACUUUUUUAACACAGAACUUCUUAUUAUUUUUUCAACAUCUUGAGUAUUAAUAAAACGGCGUCUCCUUUUUUGCUCGUUAUGAUAUGUUAGAGUUAGACUCUUAAUUUUGAUAUUUAGAUUCUCCUAGAGCAUGCACUGUAUAUUGCAUUCCUGAAUGUCUAGUACAAGUUUAGCAUGCAUCUAUAGUCAAAGAUGAGUUUUUAUCUGUCAUUUAAAUUUUUGUAGUCAUCAUUAUUAUUAUAAUUAUUAUUUUGCUUGAACGGUUUAUAAUCUUUGACUGAUUAAGAUAUAUUUUUAGUAGAUGCUGAGGUUGGUAUCAUAAAUUUUAUAUUCUUUUAGAAGAACAUCUUAAUAGGCAGCUAUUAGCCAUUGACUUUGUUCAGUUGGCGGCACGAAUUUGAGAAAAUCCCUUUAACAUUAGUUCAUUUGCGUAAAAUUGUGUAUGGUGCUUACCUUUUUAGCUUGUGAACAUAAAUUCUUUAUUUAUUCGUCAUGAUAUUUUGUCUGUAUUAAAGAAUUGGGGAUCAUCUGGUAGUUCUGAUGACCAAAAGAAUAGUUGUCCGCUAGUGCUUGUUUCAUUUCCCAAAACAGAGGUAAUACUUGCUUAAGAAUCUUGACGGUGGAUGUCCUGGUGACAGUUGAAAAAUUCAAUAAUUGGAGUAUGUGCUAAGAUGGAUGUAACAAUUU